rnacentral:rRNA from 1 species
UACGUAGGGUGCGAGCGUUGUCCGGAAUUAUUGGGCGUAAAGGGCUCGUAGGCGGUUUGUCGCGUCGGGAGUGAAAUCCACUGGCUUAACUGGUGGCUUGCUUUCGAUACGGGCAGACUGGAGGUAUGCAGGGGAGAACGGAAUUCCUGGUGUAGCGGUGAAAUGCGCAGAUAUCAGGAGGAACACCGGUGGCGAAGGCGACAUCCUGGACCGGUAUUGACGCUGAGGCGCGAAAGCCAGGGGAGCAAACGGG